rnacentral:rRNA from 7 species
CAAACGACUCUCGGCAACGGAUAUCUCGGCUCACGCAUCGAUGAAGAACGUAGCAAAAUGCGAUACUUGGUGUGAAUUGCAGAAUCCCGUGAACCAUCGAGUUUUUGAACGCAAGUUGCGCCCGAAGCCAUUCGGCCAAGGGCACGUCUGCCUGGGCGUCACGC